rnacentral:rRNA from 1 species
CAGUAGCCGCGGGAAUACGAAGGGGGCUAGCGUUGUUCGGAUUUACUGGGCGCAAAGGGUGCGUAGGCGGAUUGUUAAGUCAGGGGUGAAAUCCCGAGGCUCAACCUCGGAACUGCCUUUGGUACUGGCGAUCUUGAGUCCGGGAGAGGUGAGUGGAACUGCGAGUGUAGAGGUGAAAUUCGUAGAUAUUCGCAAGAACACCGGUGGCGAAGGCGACUCUCUGGUCUGUAACUGACGCUGAGGAGCGAAAGCGUGGGGAGCGAACGGGAUUAGAGACCCCGGUAGUCCCUGUCUCUUAUAC